GACACGCCAGAAGUCAGACUUCGUCCUAGUUGCAAAUGACUUGGCUUGCUGACACCUUUAGAGGAAUGCAAUUGCGAAAAGUCCAAGGGCGCCGUCUACCGUUUGCAUUCGGUAAGAGGGCAAUAUGGAUCCAUCACAGCUGUAUGCUUUAGCCUGGACAAUAAGAUGAACUCAGCAUUAUCGAUAUUCCACGAAGGACAAGGAAGGAUAGUCGGAAUGCAGCGUGGAAGGUCUCCUGACUGAAUUCCCUGAGCGGCGCCCCCACACUCCGUUUUUGUUCUUUGGAGCCCCAGAUGGCAUCUGCCCACACAUCUGUAUUGUGUGACGCUAACACAGACUCUCAGUGUUGGUGAGUGCACUCUAUACCCCCAAGGGAUUCUGUGGCAACCUUUAAUUGCCAACUCUGGAAAAAAAAAAAAAAAAGCCCCUCAACGCAUCAGCUCCCCUGCCCUCCAAAAACUCCUCAAUUUCCGGCCUCUUUCAGAAACCCUGUGUACAUCGCGUACUGUUUAGCGGAACCUUGUUGUAAAGCCGCCGUCCCAAACUCAUAAUAAUUCAGAAGCCGUGAUGGAAGCACUUAAAUGUUGUAGAAAGACUGAGAAUGUGGUGAAUCGGACCGGUGCCUUUUGAAAGGAGACGCUCAGCGGACUGAAGCUGAGUAGGCGGCAGUGAUGGAGGAACAAAGGACAUGAGGGAAACAUUUGCCCGUGGAGUGACACAGUGUUUAGGGCUAAAAACGAUUCACAAACCCACUACCUUGGAAGUAGAAGAUGGGCUGAGCUUCGUCUUUACUUAAUGGUUCGGAUGGAAAUCAAUCUAGACUCAAUCUAGUGAAUAAAAUGUGGGGGGGGGGGUUUCUGUGGUGUCUAAUGAAUUUGAUCGAGCCAUGGUUUGUUAUGAAAGAGAAGAGGGAUGUUUAUUUGCAAAUAUCAACAGCACUACAUAAUAAAUACGUUUAUUAAAUAAUUGACAAAUAUGUUUUUCAGACAAUCAUACAGCAAAAUCACAUAUUCAUACAGCAAAAUCGUAUGAUUAAACAUUCCCAAGAAGGAGAGGGAAUCAUUACAGAAUAUGAAUCAGAGAGAACACAUUUUUUUUUUUUUUACAAAGGGAAUUAAAGUCAUCUUACAAAAACUUGCCACAGUGCGAUGCCAUUGUGUAGCCUACUUCACAAAUCAUUAUCAUUUUAAAGCUUUUCAUAUCUGGAUAAAGCAAUGAAACGCUUCCUUUGUUCAUUUGAGUGAAUAGAUUUGACAUCUUACUAUUCAACAGAAAGCUAUCAAGCUGGUUGUCUGUUUUCAUCUUUGUCAUCCUUGGGCAGAGGAAGGAUCAAUGGAUGAUGUAGGCAGAGUGUCUAAUCACCAUCAACAAAAUGUCUGUGAUGUUCUCUUUUCAUU